rnacentral:rRNA from 1 species
GAUGAACGCUGGCGGCGUGCCUAACACAUGCAAGUCGAGCGAUCUUCUUCGGAAGAGAGCGGCGGACGGGUGAGUAACGCGUGGGUAACCUGCCCUGUACACACGGAUAACAUACCGAAAGGUAUGCUAAUACGAGAUAAUAUACUUUAUCGCAUGGUAGAAGUAUCAAAGCUCCGGCGGUACAGGAUGGACCCGCGUCUGAUUAGCUAGUUGGUGAGGUAACGGCUCACCAAGGCGACGAUCAGUAGCCGACCUGAGAGGGUGAUCGGCCACAUUGGAACUGAGACACGGUCCAA